rnacentral:rRNA from 1 species
UACGUAGGGUGCGAGCGUUAAUCGGAAUUACUGGGCGUAAAGGGUGCGCAGGCUGGAAUACAAGUUAGAUGUGAAAUACCCGAGCUUAACUUGGGAGGUGCAUUUAAGACUGUAUACCUAGAGUUAGUCAGAGGAUGGGGGAAUUCCGAGUGUAGCAGUGAAAUGCGUAGAUAUUCGGAGGAACACCGGUGGCGAAGGCGCCCAUCUGGGAUAUAACUGACGCUCAUGCACGAAAGCGUGGGGAGCAAACAGG